rnacentral:rRNA from 1 species
GGGGAAUUUUCCGCAAUGGGCGAAAGCCUGACGGAGCAAGACCGCGUGGGGGAUGAAGGUUUGUGGAUUGUAAACCCCUUUUGAUUGGGAAGAAUACUGACGGUACCAAUCGAAUAAGCCUCGGCUAACUCCGUGCCAGCAGCCGCGGUAAUACGGAGGAGGCAAGCGUUAUCCGGAAUUAUUGGGCGUAAAGCGUCCGUAGGUGGUUUAGUAAGUCUGCUGUUAAAGCGCGGGGCUUAACUCCGUAUCGGCAGUGGAANCUACUAGACUAGAGCGUGGUAGGGGUAGAGGGAAUUCCCAGUGUAGCGGUGAAAUGCGUAGAUAUUGGGAAGAACACCGGUGGCGAAAGCGCUCUACUGGGCCAUAACUGACACUGAUGGACGAAAGCUAGGGGAGCGAAAGGGAUUAGAUACCCCUGNUAGUC